GACUGAGUUAUGUGGCAGGUACAGAAUAAAAAGAGGAAGAGGAGAAAAGAAUAUUAUCUGAUACCCUGGUAAUGAGCAUUACCUUGAAAUCUCAUUCCACCAGAAGGAAAAUGUCAAUUCAUGAUACACAGAGAAUGGCUACAUGACAACAGAUGUAGUGACUGGAGUCCUGCAUUGACCCGUCAAGCAAUACCCAGGAUUGAUGAGCAAACUCUAAAACCUGAAAGAGAUGAUAUAACAAAGUCGAGCUUCAGAGAAACUUCGGACAGAAGCAGAUUUUUUCCGUAUACACUAGAUUGUUUUGGUUUACCAUUUGCAGGAUUUAUCAUGACUGAAAUUGAAUGCGAUUUAAAGACAGAUUUAUCUGCAAAGAAUUGAAACUCACAAGGCUCAGAGAUUGCUUCAUAAUGGAUUUCUAGUGUAUCACGGUGCUUCCCAAAGGUCAUAAAGAAAUGGAAUAAGAUAAAUUUAUUUUGUUCUGAAGAAAUUAAAUUCAUGCAUGGCUUCUUCAUAGUAUACAUCUUCUAAAAACUUUUAGAAAAUUUCUUGUAUGGAUGGAUGUGAAAAUUGAUUUACAGCAAAUGCAUUUCUAGUGUAUAUCCUUCAGCUUUGAAAAACAUUUUUUUUGUGUGUGGAAUGGCAAUCAAUCUCCAUCCUUUAGGACUUGAAAAUCUCAUGGCAAACACAGUGACUUCCAGUCAGAAAUUCUUUAUUAGUUUUGCUCAACCGAAUAUAGCCCUGUUGUUUUUAGAAUCAGCCUCCAUUUUGUUGCCUACUAUGAUGAAAUUUUUCAGAUGCAAAAUUAGGAAAC